GAUGAACGCUGGCGGCGUGCUUAACACAUGCAAGUCGAACGGAAAGGCCCAAGCUUGCUUGGGUCCUCGAGUGGCGAACGGGUGUGUAACACGCGGGUGAUCUGUCCUGCACUUCGGGAUAAGCCUGGGAAAAUGGGCCUAAUAUCGGAUAGGACCACUUCUUGGACGUUGUGGUGGCAAGUUUAUUAGGUGUGGGCUGAGUUCGCGGCCUAUCAGCUUGGUGGUGGGGGAAUGGCCUACCAAGGCGUCGACGGGUAGCCGGCCUGAGUGGGGGUACGGCCACAUUUGGGCUGGGGUACGGCCCAGACUCCUACGUGGGGCAGGCGUUGGGAAUAUUGCACAAAGGGCGCAAGCCUGAUGCAGCGACGCCGGGGUGAGGAAGACGGCCUUCGGGUUGGAAACUCCUUUCGCUAGGGACGAAGCGGUUUGUGACGGUACCUGGAGAAGAAGCACCGGCUAACUACGUG
rnacentral:rRNA from 1 species